AGAUGGACCCGCGUCUGAUUAGGUAGUUGGUGGGGUAACGGCCUACCAAGCCGACGAUCAGUAGCCGACCUGAGAGGGUGACCGGCCACAUUGGGACUGAGACACGGCCCAGACUCCUACGGGAGGCAGCAGUAGGGAAUCUUCGGCAAUGGGGGCAACCCUGACCGAGCAACGCCGCGUGAGUGAAGAAGGUUUUCGGAUCGUAAAGCUCUGUUGUAAGAGAAGAACGUGUGUGAGAGUGGAAAGUUCACACAGUGACGGUAACUUACCAGAAAGGGACGGCUAACUACGUGCCAGCAGCCGCGGUAAUACGUAGGUCCCGAGCGUUGUCCGGAUUUAUUGGGCGUAAAGCGAGCGCAGGCGGUUUAAUAAGUCUGAAGUUAAAGGC
rnacentral:rRNA from 1 species